UACGUAGGGAGCAAGCGUUGUCCGGAUUCAUUGGGCGUAAGGGCGCGUAGGCGGCGGGGUAAGUCGGGUGUGAAAUCUCAGAGCUCAACUCUGAAACUGCACUCGAUACUGCUCUGCUUGAGGACUGGAGAGGAGACUGGAAUUUACGGUGUAGCGGUGAAAUGCGUAGAUAUCGGAAGGAACGCCGGUGGCGAAAGCGCUCGACUGGACCUCUUCUGACGCUGAGGCGCGAAAGCCAGGGGAGCAAACGGG
rnacentral:rRNA from 1 species